CUUCCUGCCGCCGCCAUUUUGUCAAGUGAGGAGGAGGAGGAGGAGGAAGCGGCCGCCGCGGGGCUCGCGGCGCGCCCGGCCCCGCACAACUUUACCCAACUGAGCUGCCCCCAAGGCCCGGCCUUGGACGAAAAUGGGAAAUCCCACUUUGGUGUAGUGGACAGUGUGAAUACUUAUAUUCAGGCCCGUGGAUGAGUCAUGUGCUUUCGCUGAGUGGCUGACCUCCCAUUUACUGAAGACCACGCGUUGUUUUUUUUUUUUUUUUUAAAUGUUAUUCUAAUUUGUUUACUCAUUUAAUGUUUUCUGCAACCUGGUGGGGUUUAUGGCCCUGGUCUUUGGGUUCAUUUAUAUGUGUGUUGGAUGCAAGAAGUGACCUCUUGGAGUUUGUGUUUUGUGAGAAUUGACGUGUUUUUGCUUCCCUCUGAGAGGGCUCUACUUGUCUGUGUUUACAGAGAGCGAGUCUCAGUGCACCUCUAAGCCAGUGGCUCUUUCGUGCUGUAAUCAUGGUUGGGAUAUUUUUAUGAAUGGGGCUGUCAAGUUCCUUAAGUUGUGAGUCCUUAGAAUUUGUAGUUUGGAAGUGCUAGAGAAAGCGAUACUCGGCAGGAUUUAUGAAUGUAUUUUCAAUACCAGGUAGACUUUGGAUGGUAAAAUCUGUUUUAUGACCUUGCCAGUAAUUUAAUAAAGCAUUCUUUUUGGUUUAAUUUGGAUGGGGAUUAUCUAUUUUCAAGGUGUAAUAGAUAACCAACCGGUUUUCCCCCAAAACUUCAACCUGGGGAAGAUAAACCUCUCAGACGGUUUCUGUUGACUAUAGAAGGAAGAGCAUGACCUGAAACAAAAUGCAUUUCUCCCCAGUUAUCCACCAUACUUCUGUCUUUAGUAGAAAACAGUAUCUACGGGCUCAAGCUGUGGAGUAAAUCUCUUAAUAAGAUCACUUUACUUUGGUCUUAACUGGAAGAUGAGCCCACCUGUGUGUUUUUAGAUAGAAUUCAGCCCCAGCUAAUUUGUUAAAGAUACGGAGCUCUGCCUACAAAUGAAAAGUUGGAACUUGAAAGUGACUAUAUUUUAAGGAUAGGUUGGCUGUUUAGAGUGUCAGUAUGGCUAGCUUCCCCUUAGCUUGGAUGGUGGUAGAAAAAAAAAAUUACCAAAGAAUUGCAAGAUAAUUAUUGGCCACUUUGUAAAAUUUCCACUAAAUUAUUGAAUUGCUUAAAGGAAUUUAGACUUUGUUUCCAAAAGUUACCUUUUUGAGCCAGUUGUUGUGAUCUUUGUACUAAAUUGCACUUUUGUUCUUGGAGGUUGGGAGGAUGCGAUAUUUUUCUGUUACACAAUUCAGGUUAUUGAAUGACUUGAGAUUUACAGAUUUGGAAGGAGGUUGGAGUCCUUGUUCUUAAUUUAAAGCAAAACCAUUUGGUACUUAAAUGAUUUACAGAUUCUGGGCUGUUAAAUCUUUUGACAACCCACUGUCAUCUGUCACAGUUGUAAAGUAUUUCAUUUCUGAUUCUUAAUAAACUGGUAGAUCA